rnacentral:rRNA from 1 species
GAUGAACGCUGGCGGCGUGCUUAACGCAUGCAAGUCGAACGAUGAAGCCCAGCUUGCUGGGUGGAUUAGUGGCGAACGGGUGAGUAACACGUGAGUAACCUGCCCUUAACUCUGGGAUAAGCCUGGGAAACUGGGUCUAAUACCGGAUAGGAGCGUCCACCGCAUGGUGGGUGUUGGAAAGAUUUAUCGGUUUUGGAUGGACUCGCGGCCUAUCAGCUUGUUGGUGAGGUAAUGGCUCACCAAGGCGACGACGGGUAGCCGGCCUGAGAGGGUGACCGGCCACACUGGGACUGAGACACGGCCCAGACUCCUACGGGAGGCAGCAGUGGGGAAUAUUGCACAAUGGGCGCAAGCCUGAUGCAGCGACGCCGCGUGAGGGAUGACGGCCUUCGGGUUGCAAACCUCUUUCAGUAGGGAAGAAGCGAAAGUGACGGUACCUGCAGAAGAAGCACCGGCUAACUACGUG